UACGUAGGGUGCGAGCGUUGUCCGGAAUUAUUGGGCGUAAAGGGCUCGUAGGCGGUUUGUCGCGUCGGGAGUGAAAACCAGGUGCUUAACACCUGGCUUGCUUUCGAUACGGGCAGACUAGAGUGAUGUAGGGGAGACUGGAAUUCCUGGUGUAGCGGUGAAAUGCGCAGAUAUCAGGAGGAACACCGAUGGCGAAGGCAGGUCUCUGGGCAUUAACUGACGCUGAGGAGCGAAAGCAUGGGGAGCGAACAGG
rnacentral:rRNA from 1 species